rnacentral:tRNA from 1 species
GCCGAUGUAGCUCAGUUGGCAGAGCAUCCCCAUGGUAAGGGGAAGGUCGCCAGUUCGAUUCUGGCCAUCGGCU